rnacentral:rRNA from 1 species
UACGUAGGUGGCAAGCGUUGUCCGGAUUUACUGGGCGUAAAGGGCGCGCAGGCGGUCGUUUAAGUCGAAUGUGAAAGCCCCCGGCUCAACUGGGGAGGGGCAUUCGAUACUGUUCGACUCGAAGGCAGGAGAGGGAAGUGGAAUUCCGGGUGUAGUGGUGAAAUGCGUAGAUAUCCGGAGGAACACCAGUGGCGAAGGCGGCUUUCUGGCCUGUUCUUGACGCUGAGGCGCGAAAGCUAGGGGAGCAAACGGG